UACGGGGGGGGCAAGCGUUGUUCGGAAUUACUGGGCGUAAAGGGCUCGUAGGCGGCCAACUAAGUCGGACGUGAAAUCCCUCGGCUUAACCGGGGAACUGCGUCCGAUACUGGAUGGCUUGAGUUCGGGAGAGGGAUGCGGAAUUCCAGGUGUAGCGGUGAAAUGCGUAGAUAUCUGGAGGAACACCGGUGGCGAAGGCGGCAUCCUGGACCGACACUGACGCUGAGGCGCGAAAGCUAGGGGAGCAAACGGG
rnacentral:rRNA from 1 species